rnacentral:rRNA from 1 species
AGUGAACGCUGGCGGUAUGCCUAACACAUGCAAGUCGAACGGCAGCACAGUAAGAGCUUGCUCUUACGGGUGGCGAGUGGCGGACGGGUGAGGAAUACAUCGGAAUCUACUUUUUCGUGGGGGAUAACGUAGGGAAACUUACGCUAAUACCGCAUACGACCUACGGGUGAAAUCAGGGGAUCUUCGGACCUUGCGCGACUGAAUGAGCCGAUGUCGGAUUAGCUAGUUGGCGGGGUAAAGGCCCACCAAGGCGACGAUCCGUAGCUGGUCUGAGAGGAUGACCAGCCACACUGGAACUGAGACACGGUCCAGACUCCUACGGGAGGCAGCAGUGGGGAAUAUUGGACAAUGGGCGCAAGCCUGAUCCAGCCAUACCGCGUGGGUGAAGAAGGCCUUCGGGUUGUAAAGCCCUUUUGUUGGGAAAGAAAAGCAGCAGGUUAAUACCCCGCUGUUCUGACGGUACCCAAAGAAUAAGCACCGGCUAACUUCGUG